GUGGGGAAUAUUGCGCAAUGGGCGAAAGCCUGACGCAGCGACGCCGCGUGAGGGAUGAAGGUUUUCGGAUCGUAAACCUCUGUCAGAAGGGAAGAAACUACGUUGUGCUAAUCAGCAGCGUACUGACGGUACCUUCAAAGGAAGCACCGGCUAACUCCGUGCCAGCAGCCGCGGUAAUACGGAGGGUGCAAGCGUUAAUCGGAAUUACUGGGCGUAAAGCGCACGUAGGCUGUAGUGUAAGUCAGGGGUGAAAUCCCACGGCUCAACCGUGGAACUGCCUUUGAUACUGCACAACUUGAAUCCGGGAGAGGGUGGCGGAAUUCCAGGUGUAGGAGUGAAAUCCGUAGAUAUCUGGAGGAACAUCAGUGGCGAAGGCGGCCACCUGGACCGGUAUUGACGCUGAGACGCGAAAGCGUGGGGAGCAAACAGGAUUAGAAACCCCUGUAGUCC
rnacentral:rRNA from 1 species